rnacentral:rRNA from 1 species
ACGCUCGACACCUACGGGAGGUAGCAGUGGGGAAUAUUGCACAAUGGAGGAAACUCUGAUGCAGCGACGCCGCGUGAGGGAAGAAGGUCUUCGGAUUGUAAACCUCUGUUGUCAGGGACGAUGAUGACGGUACCUGACGAGGAAGCCACGGCUAACUACGUGCCAGUAGCCGCGGUAAUCUGAGCGGGCUGGCAAGGC